rnacentral:sRNA from 1 species
CACCAGUUGCCAGCUAGUUAGUUGUCACUUCUGCGUCCGGAGCUGUUCCUCCAAUAAAUAAAGAAUGGUGUUGGCCCCUUAUAGUCCACUAGUUCCACUUAACCAACCCCUAACUAGUUAUUUAGAUAUGGAGGGCCACGCUGGAGAGAAGUAACAAGUACUAACCUUCCACCUCCAUCAAAUCGUCUCUUGUUUAAUAAAACCGUUAAGCCCAAUUCAGACUUCUGUCUCCAUGAGCUAGGAAGUAUUGCAGCAAAGGGGAGGACGCAAAGAACAGAGCAUAGAGACUACCAGAAAUCCCUGAGAAGCACGGGAAAUAACUCGUAUUCUCCUCGCAUAACCAAGCAAUGGCAGUGAUUAAAAUCGAUAUCAUUUCAGACGCGAUAUGUCCCUGGUGCUUCAUCGGCUACCGCGACCUCCAAAAGGCCAUUUCCCUCUACCAAAAGACAUACCCAGGGAGCUCCAAAGAUAAAUUCCAACUAUCAUGGAAGCCUUACUUCAUAGACCAAGAACCCCCCAGCGAGAGCAUAAUUAUACACGACCGGAUGCUCCGGAAAAUGGGGCCCAAAAUGACCGAGGCGGCGCAGAUGCGCCUAAAGCGCGUUGGGGCGGCGUUGGGUCUCGAUUUUAAGUUCGGAGGGUAUAUGGGUAGCUCUAGGCUUGCGCACGUACUUCUACAUACCACCGGUGCGGAGAAGGGGCUUGUGAUGCAAGGUGAGGUUUCCGAUAUAUUGUUCCGGUAUCAGUUGG